AGAGUUUGAUCCUGGCUCAGAGCGAACGCUGGCGGCAGGCUUAACACAUGCAAGUCGAGCGGGCGUAGCAAUACGUCAGCGGCAGACGGGUGAGUAACGCGUGGGAACGUACCUUUUGGUUCGGAACAACACAGGGAAACUUGUGCUAAUACCGGAUAAGCCCUUACGGGGAAAGAUUUAUCGCCGAAAGAUCGGCCCGCGUCUGAUUAGCUAGUUGGUGAGGUAAUGGCUCACCAAGGCGACGAUCAGUAGCUGGUCUGAGAGGAUGAUCAGCCACAUUGGGACUGAGACACGGCCCAAACUCCUACGGGAGGCAGCAGUGGGGAAUAUUGGACAAUGGGCGCAAGCCUGAUCCAGCCAUGCCGCGUGAGUGAUGAAGGCCCUAGGGUUGUAAAGCUCUUUUGUGCGGGAAGAUAAUGACGGUACCGCAAGAAUAAGCCCCGGCUAACUUCGUGCCAGCAGCCGCGGUAAUACGAAGGGGGCUAGUGUUGCUCGGAAUCACUGGGCGUAAAGGGUGCGUAGGCGGGUCUUUAAGUCAGGGGUGAAAUCCUGGAGCUCAACUCCAGAACUGCCUUUGAUACUGAGGAUCUUGAGUUCGGGAGAGGUGAGUGGAACUGCGAGUGUAGAGGUGAAAUUCGUAGAUAUUCGCAAGAACACCAGUGGCGAAGGCGGCUCACUGGCCCGAUACUGACGCUGAGGCACGAAAGCGUGGGGAGCAAACAGGAUUAGAUACCCCCGUAGUCC
rnacentral:rRNA from 1 species